rnacentral:rRNA from 1 species
GACGAACGCUGGCGGCGUGCCUAAUACAUGCAAGUCGAACGCAUUUUCUUUCACCGUAGCUUGCUACACUGAAAGAAAAUGAGUGGCGAACGGGUGAGUAACACGUGGGUAACCUGCCCAUCAGCGGGGGAUAACACUCGGAAACAGGUGCUAAUACCGCAUAAUUCCAUUUACCGCAUGGUAAAUGGAUGAAAGGCGCUUUUGCGUCACUGAUGGAUGGACCCGCGGUGCAUUAGCUAGUUGGUGGGGUAACGGCCUACCAAGGCUACGAUGCAUAGCCGGCCUGAGAAGGGGAUCCGCCACACUGGGACUGGGACCCAGCCCAGACUCCUACGGGAGGCAGCAGGUGGGAAUCUUCGGCAAUGGACGCAAGUCUGGCCGAACAACGCCGCGUGAGUGAAGGAAGUUUUCGGAUCGUAAAACUCUGUUGUUAGAGAAGAACAAGAAUGGGAGUUGAAAGUGCAUCCCUUGACGGUAUCUAACCAGAAAGCCACGGCUAACUACGUG